CACGAAUUAGUAUAACGUGCGCACGUUGUAUUCAUUUCGUGGCCACAGUUUAUUUAUUUUUUGAACAUGUCACCAGAGGGGCUCCGUACUGAAGUGAGUGAGCG